GAUGAACGCUAGCUACAGGCUUAACACAUGCAAGUCGAGGGACCGGCGCACGGGUGAGUAACACGUAUCCAACCUGCCCUUUACUCGGGGAUAGCCUUUCGAAAGAAAGAUUAAUACCUGAUGUAAAGGAUGGGGAUGCGUUCCAUUAGUUUGUUGGUGAGGUAACGGCUCACCAAGCCUUCGAUGGAUAGGGGUUCUGAGUGGAAGGUCCACCACAUGUGAACUGAGACACGGUCCAAACUCCUACGGGAGGCAGCAGUGAGGAAUAUUGGUCAAUGGGCGUUAGCCUGAACCAGCCAAGUAGCGGGAAGGAUGAAUGCUUAUGGGUCGUAAACUUCUUUUAUAUAAGAAUAUGUAUUAUAUGAAUAAGGAUCGGCUAACUCCGUGCCAGCAGCCGCGGUAAUUC
rnacentral:rRNA from 1 species